CUUGAGUGGCGGACGGGUGAGUAACGCGUGAGAAUCUGCCAAAAGGUUCGGGACAACCACUGGAAACGGUGGCUAAUACCGAAUGUGCCGUAAGGUGAAAGAUUUAUUGCCUUUUGAUGAGCUCGCGUCUGAUUAGCUAGUUGGUGGGGUAAAGGCUUACCAAGGCGGCGAUCAGUAACUGGUCUGAGAGGAUGACCAGUCACACUGGGACUGAGACACGGCCCAG
rnacentral:rRNA from 1 species